GAAGAAAGAAACAAGCUUGAAAUCAAGAACAACAACCUCACAGAAGAAAGAAAGACCAAGAGAGACCAGCUAAUAAAUCAGCUUUCAAAUCUUGAUGAAUGGAUUUACUAUCAAUUCAGUUUUUACUAUACGUCCAAUGAGAAGAAGAACUGGACUGAGAGCAGACGAGACUGUUUGAAGAAAGGAGCAGAUCUGAUCAUCAUAAACAACAGAGAGGAAUAUGAUUUUGUUAUGAAUAUUACUAAUAAA